CACCAAGGCUCAGGUUGUAAUGGUUUCUUUUGUUUCCUAUUAAUACAAAUAAGUCCAUUCUUCUCAACAAUUUGUUAUUAAUGAGUUGUUUCAUAUACUGCUUGGUCUAUAUGUUGAAUAUGUUUUAUUUUAUGAGAUAUUCAGGUGCUAUGUAAUCGUUUGAUUGUUAGUGAAUUUAGGUUUCGAAGUGAAGGAAGAGCUCAUCCAGAUCAACGAGGUUGAACUACUACAACAACGUUGGACUACAGGUAGGAUCUAAAACACUUGAUUUCUUGUAUGGUAAAUGCAUGUUUAGAGAAGGAUUGCUCUUAAUUGUCUUGUUUGUCACUAGAAAUUCUUAGGCUUCUAGGGAGGUUGGUUUUGUCCGCAAGUUUAACUCUUUCUGCAUGACACAUUGUCGACUGACCUUGAGGUUAUGCGAAGGGUUCAAGUGCAAACACACCUGUUGGGACCUGAAAGAUGGUGAACUGUGCCUGAGCAAGGCGAAGCAAGAGGAAACUCUGGUGGAGUAUCGUAGCGAUAAUGAUGUGAAAAUUGUUUUCUAACUUGGCUAUAGGGGCAAAAGAAUAAUCAAACCAUCUAGUAGCUGGUUUCCUCUAAAUUUUCUCUCAGGAUAGUUGCAGCUCAUGCGCAAGUUCUAUCAGGUCAAACAAAUGAUUAGAGGCAUCGAGGGCAUAACGCCCUCAAUCUAUUCUCAAACUUUAAAUAGGUAAGAGGGUGCAACUGCUCCAUUGAGCCACGCCAUGGAAUCGAGAGCUCCAAGUGGGCCAUUUUUGGUAAGCAGAACUAGUGAUGCGGGAUGAACCGAAAUUUGAGUUACAGUGCCGAAUUGCGCGCUAACCUAGAUCCCACAAAAGGUGUUGGUUGAUUAAGAUAACAGGACGGUGGUCAUGGAAGUCAAAAUCCACUAAGGAGUGUGUAACAACUCACCUUAGAACUUUGAAGAGUGAAGUGGAGAAAGGUUCCAUGUGAACAACACUUGGACAUGGGUUAGUCGAUCCUAAGAGAUGGGGAAUCCUUGUAUCAAGGGUGCACUCUGCAGAAGCAUCUAAAGGGAAUCAGGUUAAUAUUUCCAAAUCGGGACAUGGUGAUGGGUGACAACGUUAGGAAAUCCAAAGACGUCAUCGGGGGCCCUGGGAAGAGUUAUCAUUUCAUUUUAACAGCUUUCCCACCCUAGAAUUGAUUCACCUAGAGAUAGGGUCCAGUAGCUAGAAGAGCACCAUAUGCCUUGCAGUGUCCGGUACACCCUCGAUGGCCCUUGAAAAUCUGGAGGAGCGAGUACUGUUCAAGCCUGGUCAUACUCGUAACCACAUCAGGUCUUCAAGGUGAACAAGCUCUGGUCAAUAGAAAAAUUUAGGUAAGGGAAGUCAGCAAAACGGAUCCAUGACUUCAAGAAAAGGAUUGGCUCUUAGGGCUGGGCCUAGGGCUCCGCGCCCUCAAAUCGUGGGUUGUCGACAGUCUACCCAAGCUGCUCUCAUGGCGAGGGUAGGCAGUCGUGUGCCAAUUGGUCUACAACAUAGAAGUCCCCCUAUUGGGGGCUUUUCCCUAGGUGUUGAACAGUCGACUCAGAACUAGUAUAGACAAGGGGAAUCUGACUGUUUAAUUAAAACAAAGAAUUGCGAUGGUCCCUACAGAUGUUGGCGCAAUGUGAUUUCUUCCUAGUGCUUUGAAUGUAAAAGUUAAGAAAUUCAACCAAGCACAAGUAAAUGGUAGGAGUAACUAUGACUCUCUUAAGGUAGCCAAAUGCCUCGUCAUCUAAUUAGUGACAUUCAUGAAUGGAUUAACGAUAUUCCCACUAUCCCUAUCUACUAUCUAGCGAAACCACAACCAAGCAAAUAGGCUUUGCAAAAUCAGCGGGAAAGGAAUACCCUGUUGAGCUUGAGUCUAGUCUGACUUUGUGAAAUGACUUGUGUCCAACUUUGUGAAGUAGGCACAGACCGUGUACUCAAGUAUUGGUAAAAGGAAAAGGUACGGCAGUGUCGCACCCGUUUAUGUGUGGUUGAAAUACUACCACUAGGAUAGGAGUGUGACAUGGGGUCUCUCGGUCCCUCCUCGAUAAAAGUUGUCAAAUUGCACGGAACUUGGGGAUUCCAUGUCCUGCCUUGUCAAAGGCCUCCCAAGUGCAAGAAAUUUGGGGUUUCCAUGUCUCAUCACGAUGGAAAUCACCCCAGGUGUAGUAAACCUAGUGUACAUCGAGUCUGCAACCUCACAUCAAUAAAAAGGCUCAGUUGUUCAAGAGAAUGAAGGUCCCUUCAUUAGUAAAGGAUCUCACUAAGGAUCAAAGGUUGGAGUCUCUUCUAGAUAUAGUCCACCAAGGAAUAUCAAAAGUUGAAAGAAGGACAUAGUGUCGGGGAAUGAAGUUCUGAAGAAACAAAGUGUAGAGAGGAGGAAGGACUCGACUUGUUCUUGGAGGAUCUUAUUGUCAAGGGUCUAGGGCUUCACAAUGACUAAUAAGAAGCUUCAAUAAUAUAAAUUUAUGAAAGGAUUUUCCUCUCUGAGAGAAAGAGGUUUUCCCCUUGCAGAGAGCCAACAUCUUGUGUUCUUGUUCUUAUGUUUUUGGCACCAGUUUGAUGAAGUAAAUACACAUGCAUUAAUAAGAAAAGAAGAUUAAGAUAACAAGAUAAAUUGUAAAAGAGCUUCACAAAUUGUUAUCAAGUCUAGAAUAAUCCCGCUAUACCCCAUUUCCCCAAAUUCUUCAAUGUGGUAUCGGAGCUAAGGUGACACCUCAAGGAAAGGGAAUUUCAAGAACAUUAGCAAGGUUGUAGCAUAAAGCCAAGAAGUCUCAAUCACAUCAUGGACAAGAAGGUCUGCCAUCUAUCA
rnacentral:rRNA from 1 species